rnacentral:rRNA from 1 species
GUCUGCAACUCGACUACAUGAAGCUGGAAUCGCUAGUAAUCGCGAAUCAGAAUGUCGCGGUGAAUACGUUCCCGGGUCUUGUACACACCGCCCGUCACACCAUGGGAGUCGGAAAUGCCCGAAGUCAGUGACCUAACCGAAAGGAGGGAGCUGCCGAAGGUGGAGCCGGUAACUGGGGUGAAGUCGUAACAAGGUACC